AGAACGAACGCUGGCGGCAUGCCUAACACAUGCAAGUCGAACGCUUGUAGCAAUACAAGAGUGGCGCACGGGUGAGUAACGCGUGGGAACCUGCCCUGGAGUGGGGGAUAACCGAGGGAAACUUCGGCUAAUACCGCAUACGACCUGAGGGUGAAAGAUUUAUCGCUCUAGGAGGGGCCCGCGUCGGAUUAGCUAGUUGGUGGGGUAACGGCCUACCAAGGCUACGAUCCGUAGCUGGUCUGAGAGGAUGGCCAGCCACACUGGGACUGAGACACGGCCCAGACUCCUACGGGAGGCAGCAGUGGGGAAUAUUGGACAAUGGGGGCAACCCUGAUCCAGCAAUGCCGCGUGAGUGAUGAAGGCCUUAGGGUUGUAAAGCUCUUUCGGCGGGGACGAUGAUGACGGUACCCGCAGAAGAAGCCCCGGCUAACUCGUGCCAGCAGCCGC
rnacentral:rRNA from 1 species